UAAAAUAUAAGAUCAAUUCUACACGAUGGCUUCUAACAGCUAUCAAUCUUAUCUUUUGGGUGUUUCAUGCAUUUUUUUAGUCAUGGUUUUAGGUAAUUAAAUGAAAAUUUUAUUUUACCUAUCAGUUGUAUUUUUAUUAAAAAAAAUAUAUAUAUAAACUUAAAGUGAAUUGUUUUAUAUUUUGUUAUAUUUAUAUUCAAAGACUACAUAUUGAUCAAUAAAGUAUUAUCUCUUCAAAAAAAAGAAACAAAUACUAAUUAUGGGAGCAUUUGUAACUAUUUUUUUAUUUUAUUUUAAAAAUCUAUAACAAAUGAUAUAUAUAUUGAACUUGUUCAGGAGUGGUUACUAGUUUGGAGACUUCACCUGAGGCACGUGCCAAACCAGGAUGUCUUUUGGGGAGUCCAGGACAAGAUUGUUGCAUAUCGGGCUGUACUCCAACUUGCGACUCAGACUGUAAGAGCAAAGGACAUCCUAUGGGUGGAAUAUGUACCGAUGUACUUAUUUCGAACCUAUGUUGUUGUUUUGUAUGAAAAUAAACACAUGAAAUUCAACUUUGUUUUAUACCUAGAAACUCCGUGACCUUACAACUUAACUUGUAAGAGUUUUCUUUAUGAAUUGCAUUAGUACCUCAUAUCAUAAAAGAUAAUUGAUCACCCAUAAUUAUGGACUCUUGAAAAAAGAUCAAUUUAUUUCUAUCUUUUCACAAGGUCCAAAUAGCAACAUCAAAGAAGAUAGACAUAUUCCAAAAAAUUGUCUCUAAGAACAUGUAUUAGAGUUUUUGGGAUUGUUUGACAUUGGGUACAAUUAGAUUUAUUAUUCAUACCUC
rnacentral:lncRNA from 1 species